CUCGGACUGCGACACGGCCCAGACUCCUACGGGAGGCAGCAGUGGGGAAUAUUGCGCAAUGGGCGAAAGCCUGACGCAGCGACGCCGCGUGGGGGAUGAAGGCCUUCGGGUUGUAAACCCCUUUCAGCAGGGACGAAGCGAAAGUGACGGUACCUGCAGAAGAAGCGCCGGCUAACUACGUGCCAGCAGCCGCGGUAACACGUAGGGCGCAAGCGUUGUCCGGAAUUAUUGGGCGUAAAGAGCUCGUAGGCGGUCUGUUGCGUCCGCUGUGAAAACUCGGGGCUUAACCCCGAGCCUGCAGUGGAUACGGGCAGACUAGAGGUAGGUAGGGGAGAAUGGAAUUCCCGGUGUAGCGGUGAAAUGCGCAGAUAUCGGGAGGAACACCGGUGGCGAAGGCGGUUCUCUGGGCCUUACCUGACGCUGAGGAGCGAAAGCGUGGGGAGCGAACAGGAUUAGAUACCCUGGUAGUCCACGCCGUAAACGUUGGGCGCUAGGUGUGGGAUCCUUCCACGGAUUCCGUGCCGCAGCUAACGCAUUAAGCGCCCCGCCUGGGGAGUACGGCCGCAAGGCUAAAACUCAAAGGAAUUGACG
rnacentral:rRNA from 1 species